rnacentral:rRNA from 1 species
AGCGGCGGACGGGUUAGUAACGCGUGGGAAUAUACCCUUCUCUACGGAAUAGCCUCGGGAAACUGAGAGUAAUACCGUAUAAGCCCUUCGGGGGAAAGAUUUAUCGCCAUUGGAUUGGCCCGCGUUAGAUUAGAUAGUUGGUGGGGUAAUGGCCUACCAAGUCUACGAUCUAUAGCUGGUUUUAGAGGAUGAUCAGCAACACUGGGACUGAGACACGGCCCAGACUCCUACGGGAGGCAGCAGUGGGGAAUCUUAGACAAUGGGCGCAAGCCUGAUCUAGCCAUGCCGCGUGUGUGAUGAAGGCCUUAGGGUCGUAAAGCACUUUCGCCAGAGACGAUAAUGACAGUAUCUGGUAAAGAAACCCCGGCUAACUCCGUGCCAGCAGCCGCGGUAAUACGGAGGGGGUUAGCGUUGUUCGGAAUUACUGGGCGUAAAGCGUACGUAGGCGGAUCAGAAAGUAUAGGGUGAAAUCCCAGGGCUCAACCCUGGAACUGCCUUGUAAACUCCUGGUCUUGAGUUCGAGAGAGGUGAGUGGAAUUCCAAGUGUAGAGGUGAAAUUCGUAGAUAUUUGGAGGAACACCAGUGGCGAAGGCGGCUCACUGGCUCGAUACUGACGCUGAGGUACGAAAGUGUGGGGAGCAAACAGGAUU